GCUGAGGUGGAGGGUCUGGGCCCCAGUGCCUUUGGUUCACAAAUCCUUCCUUCUCCCCUUGAACUCUUUAGGAUGGUGUGAAAAAAAUGGUGAAUGGUGAUGAGCUUCACUGAGCAACAGGAUGGGAGACCUGGCUGGGAGGAGAGGCUGCAUCUCAUGCUGUCACUUGGAGACCACAAGAUGCCGGGACCAGGGGAGGGUCAAUGCCCCCCACCCCGGACCAGCAGGCCCGCGCUGGUUGGCGGGGCCUCUUGCGGAAUUCAGUUCUUGGCCAGAAGUCCCUGCCGUAGACCUCAGGAGAUCUGAGGAAGGCUCAGUAAACCUGGCGGCUGCUCUUCAGGAACCGUUUCAGCAGUAAUCUAUGGAUCCUGAUAUGGACCAGAACCGAGGGACCAGGACGCUUUGACGUAAUAGUGGUCCUCAUCACGCAGAAUUGCUAGGAGGGCUAAAGAGAGACAUUUGCAAGCUCUUGAUGAGUGGUAAUUAUCACUUCUACCCAGCUAACCUCACCUGACAUCCUAGGUGAUCUCAGGAAAUCUGUGUGUCUUCCAUGCCUGAUACUUACUAGGGACCUCCCUAUCCGUGGCCUCCUCUGCCUGUGGCUGGGUGUAUUUUGGAUGCCAGCCUCAGCAAGAGAAGAAACGAUCCCUGCUCACAGCCCUGCCAAAGGGGCAGGCCUAGGUGACAGUGCCCACCGGUGGCUCUGGAGUGGACACACAGACUGAAGGGGCAAUCUACAGACGGGAAAGUCACUGCGGCCAAUGAGAUUCCCCUCUGGUGAUCGGGACCCGGGAAAGGGAGAAACUGGGUUGACCGGCAGCAGAGACAUAGAACCUGGCUGGUCCCAUUAAUGGCAGCACGCUCACGAAAAGGACAGCCUCCCCCUGCUGAGGCUCUCCAGGACGCACUGGGCCCAGGACCACCUCCCCACACAGCCCGGCUGCUUACGCGUUCUUCUAGUAGACACUACAAACAUCUCUUCCAACUGCUUCAGAAUAAACAUGUCCCUUUUUCUGAGUUAGCUUGAGUGGGUCUCUGUUUCCUCCAACAGAAAGAGCCUUCGCUCACACAGCUCCGCCCCUUGGGAAGAACAUGCAGAUGGAGCCCUGGCUGAACAUCCUGGGCACUUCCAGCGCAAGGCAUCGCUUCAACAACCAGCCCCACGGGAGGCAACCCGACUCACUCCUCCCUGGCUCCCUUCUACCGCAGACAUCCAAAAAGUUAAAGCUCUGCUCCUCCCGGCCUCCCCUGUAGCGAGGGGCGGUCAUGUGAGAUAGUCCUGGUCAAAGAUUUGCAAGUGAGUGUCUGUCAGGACAGAGAGUAGCGUCCCUCCUGUGUUGCGUGAAAAUGUCAUGCUUGGAGCUGCGGCCACCAUCUUGCCACCGCAAAGUGAAAGUCAGACAAGAGAGAUUCCAGCCCUGGCACAUUGGGGAUGCUAUGCCACUGGCAGCCCCCAAAUAACAGAUGCCUUGUUAUGUGAGAAAAGUAUAUCCCUAAACUACCAUUAGAUUUUUCUAUAACUUAGAAGCAAAAUCUUUUUGAAAUUAUGUACUCUGAAAUAGACCUUGAUAUUAUUUCCUGUA